rnacentral:rRNA from 1 species
CGCAUAUCAAUAAGCGGAGAAAAGAAACUAAGCAAGGAUUCCCCUAGUAAACGGGCGAGUGAAGCGGGAUGAGCUCAAAUUUAAAAAUCUGGCUGGUUUACUAGUCCGAAUUGUAGUUUAAAGAAGCGUUUUUCGGUGGCAGCCUGGGUAUAAAUCCUUUGGAACAGGGUAUCAUAGAGGGUGAGAAUCCCGUCUUUGACUCAGUGCAUGCUACUAUGUGAUACGUUUUCAAAGAGUCGAGUUGUUUGGGAAUGCAGCUCAAAAUGGGUGGUAAAUUUCAUCUAAAGCUAAAUAUUGGCGAGAGACCGAUAGCGAACAAGUACCGUGAGGGAAAGAUGAAAAGAACUUUGAAAAGAGAGUUAAACAGUGCGUGAAAUUGUUGAAAGGGAAACGCUUGACACCAGUCAUGCGAGCGGAAAAUCAGUCUUUUGCAGUGGGGAGUUGUGUGGGUUCGGACCGCAAGGCCGGCCUGCGCUGCAUCUCUGCUGUAAGUGAUGCACUUUUUCGUUUGCAGGCCAACAUCAGUUUCUUCUGCUGGACAAAACUCUUGAGAAGGUGGCAGCUUAGGCUGUGUUAUAGCUCUUGAGCGAUACAGUGGAGGGGACUGAGGUUUUCGCAGCGCGUGCUCUCGGGCAAGGCUGAUUGGGUGCUAUGGGAUCGUUCGGUGUACAAUGCAUGCAUUUUGCGCCGUGUCUUUUCUAUACUCGCUCAACUCGGCUCUUCCGCGCUUAGGAUGUUGGCUUAAUGGUUUUAAUCGACCCGUCUUGAAACACGGACCAAGGAGUCUAACAUAUAUGCAAGUGUUUGGGUGGCAAACCCAUGCGCGUAAUGAAAGUGAACGUAGGUGCGAUCCGCAAGGUGCAGCAUCGACCGAUCUUGAUAUUUUUUGGAUAGAUUUUGAGUAAGAGCAUAUAUGCUGGGGACCCCGAAAAGAUGGUGAACUAUGCCUGAAUAGGGGUGAAGCCAGAGGAAACUCUGGGUGGAGGCUCGUAGCGAUUCUGACGUGCAAAUCGAUCGUCAAAUUUGGGGUAUAGGGGGCGAAAGGACUAAUCGGAACCCAUCUAGUAGGCUGGUUCCCUGCCGA